rnacentral:rRNA from 1 species
AUUGAACGCUGGCGGAAGGCCUAACACAUGCAAGUCGAACGAGUGGCGGACGGGUGAGUAAUGUCUGGGAAACUGCCUGAUGGAGGGGGAUAACUACUGGAAACGGUAGCUAAUACCACAUACCAUCGGAUGUUCCCAGAUGGGAUUAGCUAGUAGGGGGGGUAAAGGCUCACCUAGGCGACGAUCCCUAGCUGGUGUGAGAGGAUGACCAACCACACUGGAAAUGAGACACGGUCCAGACUCCUACGGGAGGCAGCAGUGGGGAAUAUGGCACAAUGGGCGCAAGCCUGAUGCAGCCAGGCCGCGUGUAUGAAGAAGGCCUUCGGGUUGUAAAGUACUUUCAGCGGGGAGGCGUUACCCGCAGAAGAAGCACCGGCUAACUCCGUGCCAGCAGCCGCGGUAAUAC